AACUCACCAGGUCAGGACACGGUAAGGAUUGACGGACUGAAGGCUCUUUCUCGAUUCCGUGGAAAGUGGUGCAUGGCCGUUUUUGGUUGGUGGAUCGAUCCGUCUGGUUAAUUCCGUUAACGAACGAGACCUCGGCACUCCGAAUAGCGCGGCGGACGUCGCGGCCUCCGGGCCGUCUUCCGCACGAGCUUCUUAGAGGGACCGUCCCCCGCCGGGGAAGGAGGUGCGAGGCAACGACAGGUCUGUGAUGCCCUUAGAUGUUCUGGGCCGCACGCGCAUUACACUGACGCGUCCAACGGGUGACUCCCGACCCGAAGGGGCCGGGGAAUCCGCAAGGCGCGUCGUGAUGGGGAUUGAACGUUGCAAUUGUUGUUCACGAACGAGGAAUUCCUAGUAGGCGCGGGUCAUCAACCCGCGCCGAUUACGUCCCUGCCCUUUGUACACACCGCCCG
rnacentral:rRNA from 1 species